AUUGAACGCUGGCGGCAGGCCUAACACAUGCAAGUCGAGCGGAUGAGAGGAGCUUGCUCCUUGAUUCAGCGGCGGACGGGUGAGUAAUGCCUAGGAAUCUGCCUGGUAGUGGGGGAUAACGUUCCGAAAGGAACGCUAAUACCGCAUACGUCCUACGGGAGAAAGCAGGGGACCUUCGGGCCUUGCGCUAUCAGAUGAGCCUAGGUCGGAUUAGCUAGUUGGUGAGGUAAUGGCUCACCAAGGCGACGAUCCGUAACUGGUCUGAGAGGAUGAUCAGUCACACUGGAACUGAGACACGGUCCAGACUCCUACGGGAGGCAGCAGUGGGGAAUAUUGGACAAUGGGCGAAAGCCUGAUCCAGCCAUGCCGCGUGUGUGAAGAAGGUCUUCGGAUUGUAAAGCACUUUAAGUUGGGAGGAAGGGCAGUAAGUUAAUACCUUGCUGUUUUGACGUUACCAACAGAAUAAGCACCGGCUAACUUCGUGCCAGCCGCCGCGGUAAUAC
rnacentral:rRNA from 1 species